AAGAAAGGAAAAGAAAGCAUAUCGUGGAAAAGAGACAACACAACAUAAUAUCUUCUUCUCUCUUCCUUCAACUUCUUCUCAAAUUUCUCUCAAAGUUUUUCUAUUUUUUCAAAUACAAAGAACAAACAACAACAACACACAAAUCGAUUGGAAAUUUGUAUCGUACCUAUGGUCGUGGAGGCGAGAAUCCGAUGGAGGUCCUUCACGGUUGGCCUUCGCCGGUUUUCAGCGGCUUAUGGCGGAUACGUAAGUUACGCGCAGAGAGAGACACCGUCGGUGGCGGAUUGAAGAGCCCAACAACGGCGAGUGAAGAACUUGGGAUUUCAGAAAUUGAAGCCCUAGGUUUCGUAAAUAUUUUUCUCUUAUGUAAAUUCCUUUUUC